rnacentral:misc_RNA from 1 species
AACUUUUGACAAUGGAUCACUUGGCUCUCGCAUCGAUGAAGAACGCAGCGAAAUGCGAUAAGUAAUGUGAAUUGCAGAAUUCAGUGAAUCAUUGAAUCUUUGAACGCACCUUGCGCUCCUUGGUAUUCCGAGGAGCAUGCCUGUUUGAGUGUCAUUGAAUUCUCAACUGCUCUUGGCUUUUUCAUGAGCUGGCAGUGGCUUGGAUUGUGGGGCUUUGCGGGCUUUGGAAAGAAAAAGUCGGCUCUCCUUAAAGGCAUUAGCAGAGGGACCUCUCCUGUUGACUGUCUUCUUUGGUGUGAUAAGAACUAUUUAUUUAUGCCAUGACUGUUGACAACUCUUGAGUGCUCAGCUUCUCAACCGUCGUUGGACAUGUCUCUUUGACAUUUUGACCUCAAAUCAGGUAGGACUACCCGCUGAACUUAAGCAUAUCAAUAAGCGGAGG